AUUGAACGCUGGCGGCAGGCCUAACACAUGCAAGUCGAGCGAGCGGCGGACGGGUGAGUAAUGUAUGGGGACUGCCCGAUAGAGGGGGAUAACUACUGGAAACGGUGGCUAAUACCGCAUACUAUCGGAUAACCCAUAUUUGAUUAGCUAGUAGGGGGGGGAAAGGCUCACCUAGGCGACGAUCUCUAGCUGGUCUGAGAGGAUGAUCAGCCACACUGGGACUGAGACACGGCCCAGACUCCUACGGAGGCAGCAGUGGGGAAUAUUGCACAAUGGGCGCAAGCCUGAUGCAGCCAUGCCGCGGGUAUGAAGAAGGCCUUAGGGUUGUAAAGUACUUUCAGCGGGGAGGCGUGAAAAGGAGAAGAAGCACCGGCUAACUCCGUGCCAGCAGCCGCGGUAAUAG
rnacentral:rRNA from 1 species